UGGGGAAUAUUGGACAAUGGGCGAAAGCCUGAUCCAGCAAUACCGCGUGAACGAUGAAGGCCUUCGGGUUGUAAAGUUCUUUUAGUAGGAAAGAUAAUGACGGUACCUACAGAAAAAGACACCGGCUAACUUCGUGCCAGCAGCCGCGGUAAUACGAAGGGUGCAAGCGUUGUUCGGAAUUACUGGGCGUAAAGCGUGUGUAGGCGGCUAAGCCAGUCAGUUGUGAAAGCCCCGGGCUCAACCCUGGGAAUUACCAGUUGAUACUACUUAGCUAGAGUGUGAUAGGCGAUGGCGGAAUUCUUAGUGUAGGGGGUAAAAUCCGUAGAUAUUAAGAGGAACACCGGGUGGUGAAGACGGCUAUCUUGGUCAUAACUGACGCUGAUACACGAAGGCGUGGGGAGCAAACAGGAUUAGAUACCCUGGUA
rnacentral:rRNA from 1 species